GGGACGAACGCUGGCGGCGCGCCUAACACAUGCAAGUCGAGCGAUAACCAGUCCUUCGGGACUGGGGACAGCGGCGAACGGGUGAGUAACACGUGGGUAAUCUACCCUCGGUUUCGGGAUAGCCCGGGGAAACCCGGAUUAAUACCGAAUGGCCUCUCAGGCUCUAGGGCUUGAGAGAAAAGGUAGCUUCGGCCUCUGACCGAGGAUGAGCCCGCGGCCGAUUAGCUAGUUGGUGGGUAAUGGCCCACAAGGCGACGAUCGGUAGCUGGUCUGAGAGGACGAUCAGCCACACUGGGACUGAGACACGGCCCAGACUCCUACGGGAGCAGCAGUGGGGAAUCUUGCGCAAUGGGACGAAAGCCUGACGCAGCGACGCCGCGUGCGGAAGAAGGCCUUGGUCGUAACCGCUUCAGGUAGGACG
rnacentral:rRNA from 1 species